GCCUACGGGGCGCAGCAGUAGGGAAUAUUACUCAAUGGGGGAAACCCUGAAGCAGCAACGCCGCGUGGAGGAUGAAGGUUUUCGGAUUGUAAACUCCUUUUGUUAGAGAAGAUAAUGACGGUAUCUAACGAAUAAGCACCGGCUAACUCCGUGCCAGCAGCCGCGGUAAUACGGAGGGUGCAAGCGUUACUCGGAAUCACUGGGCGUAAAGAGCGCGUAGGCGGGAUAGCAAGUCAGAUGUGAAAUCCUAUGGCUUAACCAUAGAACUGCAUUUGAAACUGUUAUUCUAGAGUAUGGGAGAGGUA
rnacentral:rRNA from 1 species